AAAAAAAAAGUUUUGAAAAAUAACAUAAAUAAAUCUAUCUAUCGAAUUUGUGUAUUUAAAAAAAAUUAAGGGUAAAAUAAAUUUAUCUUAAAUAUUAAAAUAAACCCAAAAAAAAAAAGAAAUAAGUGACAAAUUUUAGUGAAACUUAUAGCAGCGAAAAAUUGCAUAAAACUACAAAUUGUUUAUUCGAAAGAAAAACUAAAAAUUAGCCACAAAAGAAAGGUGAUUGAUCAAGUGUUUCGUAUUCAUAAAAGACUAGAAUUGAAAAGUUUCCAUUACAAAAAUACUCUUAACAAAAAAAAAAAAAAACUAAACCAAAUUAAAUAAAUGUUAAUUUUUUAUUUAAUUGAAGCAAAAACUUAACUUUAAAAUUAUUUAAAAUAAUUAAAUAAACUAGAGCCCUGUUUUAAUAAUUUAUUUUUUUAGUUCAGCCAACAGCAACAGCAAAACUUGUGCAGCAAACAGCAACUAAAUAAUUUAUAAUUUUAUU